AAGAUUUAUGUGAAAGGAUAUACAGCAAAAUCAGUGAAGGGAAGAAGUGCAUGGAGUAAAAUCCAGAGGAAUCCAGGCAGAGUCUUCCAAGAGUCCUCUUCCACUAGAGUCACACAGGAUACACACAGUUCCUCAGAAAGCCUGUGAUUUCAUCAUGUGAAGGAACUGAAAUGUGAUGAGCAGCCCAACCACCAGCCAACGAGAUUUCCCUCCUUCCUUCCUCGAUAUCAACAACUGAGCUAUUUCUCCUUCUCUGACUCAGAAGAGAGACAGAAAACUGUGAAAUAGCACGAGGAAACAACUUCUUGCGGAAGCACUUUGAUACCAUAAGGCCAGACCUUACGAUGCCAAACUGCAGUUGCUGAAUUGUGAAACUUAAAUGCAAUGGGACGAAUUGGAUCAUGGGGUGGCAGGAGCCAAGUGGCAGCACUAAAGAAAA